rnacentral:rRNA from 1 species
ACGUAGGGACCAAGCGUUGUUCGGAUUUACUGGGCGUAAAGGGCGCGUAGGCGGCCAACUAAGUCGGAUGUGAAAUCCCCAGGCUUAACUUGGGAAUGGCAUCCGAUACUGGAUGGCUUGAAUCCGGGAGAGGGAUGCGGAAUUCCAGGUGUAGCGGUGAAAUGCGUAGAUAUCGAGAGGAACACCUGCGGCGAAGGCGGGUUGCUGGGCUGACACUGACGCUGAUGUGCGAAAGCUAGGGGAGCGAACGGGA